rnacentral:rRNA from 1 species
UACGAAGGGGGCUAGCGUUGCUCGGAUUUUACUGGGCGUAAAGGGCGCGUAGGCGGAUGUUUUAAGUCGGGGGUGAAAGCCCGGGGCUCAACCUCGGAAUUGCCUUCGAUACUGGACAUCUUGAGUACGGGAGAGGUGAGUGGAACUCCGGAGUGUAGAGGUGAAAUUCGUAGAUAUUCGGAAGAAACACCAGUGGCGAAAGGCGACUCACUGGCCCGUUACUGA